CGGGAUUCAACUACCAGCAUUUUGGAAGAUAGUCCCAAAGCAAUCAACUUAUGGCAGGGGAAGGUGCUUCAUCAUAACAAAACUCCAAUGAACCAGAAGCAAAGGAGUUGAGGACAACAUCAAAAUGUUUCCACACAGGCUGCAUAAUUUGAAGAGGUAUUAAUAAGCUGAGAGUUAGCCUGACAUAAUCCAAUUGGAUUUGGUUUUCCACAUCAGGUAACUGGUAUGCUUUUAUUUACAUCAGGUUUUUUAAUAUCAGCUGAACUGUUACCAGCAAAUGACUUCAGCACUGGUGGAAGUUCAUGAUUUUUUAUCUUGUUAAGCAGCAAUACAGGCAUGGGACAAGUCAUGAGGAGAGACUCAGUUCCUUAAAUUUUGCUCCUGGUAUCAGGGUUUCUCUCUUCAAAGGUAAUUCUCAAAAUACAGGUCAUGGUUCCGGAUCGAUGCCCACCCUAGUAGCCAUAUGCCAUCACUUGAUGCUGGCACCAUCUGUCAUAUUGUCCAUUUUUCACACCACCAGGAUUGGAGGAUUCCUUCUGUCAAGAGCUGGAAGAGUCUCAUAACCAUGAAGCACUGAGUGGGGACUCCGGGAGAUUUCAGCUACAAGGAGGAGAUGGGGAGGAUAAUGAUAAGAGAUAAGGAAAGGCACAGGGACGUUGAGUAACUUCCUAAGAUCACCCAGCAAGGAGAUGGCAGAGCUGAUUCAAACCCAAGACUUGCUGAUCUCAAGGCUGUACACUUGAACGCCACUCACACCCUUUCCUCAAACUGAGACACAGUCAAGUUGAGGACUCUGGCAAGGCGGAAGCAACUGAUAUUUCUUGAACAUCAAAUGGAUACCAGCCACUGUGCCUGGGGCUUUAGAGGACUUUCUCUAUAACCCACCUUCUCUAUAACCCUAUAUGAUAAUUAUUACCAAAAUGCCACCUGCCCGCCCCAACAAGUUGAGAAAAGAGGAAUUAAGUAAUAUGCCCAAAGUCACUGAUCAAGGCAGUGACAAAGCCAGCCUUCAAAUCUAUGUCUG